ACGCUCGACACCUACGGGAGGCAGCAGUGAGGAAUAUUGGUCAAUGGGCGCAGGCCUGAACCAGCCAAGUAGCGUGAAGGAUGACUGCCCUAUGGGUCGUAAACUUCUUUUAUAUGGGAAUAAAGUUUUCCACGUGUGGAAUUUUGUAUGUACCAUAUGAAUAAGGAUCGGCUAACUCCGUGCCAGUAGCCGCGGUAAUCUGAGCGGGCUGGCAAGGC
rnacentral:rRNA from 1 species